rnacentral:rRNA from 1 species
UACGGGGGGAGCAAGCGUUGUUCGGAUUUACUGGGCGUAAAGGGCGCGUAGGCGGUCAGCACAAGUCAGUUGUGAAAUCUCCGAGCUUAACUCGGAAAGGUCAACUGAUACUGUGCGACUAGAGUGCGGAAGGGGCAACUGGAAUUCUUGGUGUAGCGGUGAAAUGCGUAGAUAUCGGGAGGAACAUCAGUGGCGAAGGCGGCUGCCUGGCCCAAUACUGACACUCAGGUGCGACGAGCGUGGGGAG